GCGUAUGAGGCCGACAUUUCGAAUUUAUUUGCGCCAAUUUGAUUACCACGACAAGUUAACAGUUGCUCUAAGCAGUGCAAAAUGACGUCUUACCAAUAAACCCAUGUCUGAAAAAUACAUAUUGGGUAAAAAGAAUAAACAUGUCUUUGGUGGUUCAAGCUUGUUUGAAAUAAUAAGGGAUGUUGUAGUUAAGAAUGUGCAACAGAGACCACAAUAUGGAACUACUGUGCAAGAUGCCUAAAAUAUGCCCCUGAAAUAUCUGGGAAUGUGUCUAGCAGAAGGACUAAUUGUUUUAAAUAAAAUUAAGUAUUCAGUUUGUGUUUGUUUGAAAUUGUAAGAUGCAUAUGUGAGCAACUUGUUAUAUAAUUACUGUUUUAUGUCACAAACAUA